UCGAAGGCCUGCUACACUUAAACAAUCUACAGAACCCAAACAGACUACAGCCCACCUGAACCCUCAGGGAAACCUCUAUCACAGGCAGGCAUGGAUGAUAUUGAGAAAGAAUUAGAACUGGAUUUAGAAAAUAUGAAAUUUGAUGAUGAUAUAGAUACUUCUGUAAGUUAAUAAAAGGAUUAUUUUUAGCUGUUUGGCAACAUAUGAUAGUACAUGUAGUAUGUGUAGGAUGACUCAGAACGUUAGAGCUUGCUUUAUAGUAAGAGUAGCUGCCCAGAGUCUAGGGUGACCUUUAAACAUUUAUAUUCUGAUAUUAAAUUUGAUGUUUUACCUUUUCGUUAUCAGUAUCUAGUUUCUUCCAUAUCAAAGUUUAUGGUUGGUUUUUUCAUAAGUUAGAAUUCCAUUUAACCCAAUUAUAGAUUUGUUGAAGUUCCACAUGUUUAUUUAGUUAUUACAUUUUAGGGAAUUGAUGACCAAAAAAUUUUAUCAGAGGUAAGAUAGGGCACCUGUUUUCUGCAUGGCAGUUUAUAUUUCUGUAGUUUUAGUUAGUUCUUGUAAUGGAGUAUUGGAUUACUUCCCUUUGUAAAGAGUUCUUCAUUAUCAAAAUGCUGGUCUUUGAGGCACCUGCAUUUUAAACAGUUUAUUGACCUAUUAUUGAAUAUUUUUAUUAACAAACAUCUUGCUUGGUUGUUGGACAGAUCCCUUAUUAUUAUAUACUUACUAUUUGACCCAGGUUUUGGUGGUUGUUAGACAAAUCUCUUUUAACAAUGUAUUAACAAUUAUUAUUAAUCAUUAUCAUUUGUUCAGAGAAAUUAAUUAACCUUUACACAAUUAAUAGUUCUAUGUUGAGGAUCACCCAAAUGAAUUUAACCCUUGUUACUCAUGAUCAUGUUUUUAUUCAGAUUCAAGGAAAUGAAAUGAAUAUUUAUAUGUACAAUGUACAUUUAAAAACAACUGCCAUUCUACCGCAGUUUUACUAUAAAAUAACUUUUUGUAAAAAUACCUAUUUGGUUUAUACUCAAGCUUUAGACAAAUUCAAAAUCACAAUUAGGUAUAACAGCAUAAACAGAUCAAAAUUUACUGCAUUUCAACAAUCAAUGUUUCUUCAGUAAUUUCGAAGCCAAAAUGUUUGGGAAUCCAGAAUCUAAUCCCUAAUAAAAAAUGCUAAAAAUAACAAAAUAAAACAAAAAUCACAGCCAAACCUUGAUGAAGAUUUAGAGAUUUGCCUGAGAAAAAUAAAUCCCUAAAUGUUGCCAAAAAAGUUUCCCAUAUUUUAUAUUUGAAAUUCAAAAUUGUAGAUUUUGGGUGCUGGAUGAAUAAAUCCCUUAUAUGUAUUACCAUCAUUAUUGAUUGAUACUUUAUAUGAUAUUUGUUUAAUUAUUCAAACAUAUACAUAAUACUAAUUCUCGUCUGGUGCCUGUCAAUAUUAAUGUUGGCUGAGGUAUAUAUUACCUUAGUGUGUUAGGGAAUUUAGAGCUAAUGUAGAGUAAGACUUUGAUUGGCUUGCUUGCUUGCUUUGACAUCUGCAACCAAUAUCAAUAGGCAGAGUUUAACAUGUAUAUAUUAUAUCUAAAUUUGAAUGAAUGUUAUCUCAGUUACAAUUAUGCAAUAUACAAACAAAGCAAGCAAGCUAUCCAAAGUCUUACUCUACAUGCAUUAGGAAAAAUUAGUUCUAAUGGGAACUUAUUUUAUGUUCUUCUUGUCACUGUAUGUUAAAUCUAACCUAACAUGUGUUCCUUCUAAUGCAAUUUAAUAUGUAACAACAGUUUUGAUUGGAUGACAUCAUAAAUUUUAAGGGUGUUUAGUUUUGUAACUAAGAGAAGCCACCAUUUUGCACUUAAAUACCAGAGAGCAUGAUAUGAAAGGAUUGUUCUGAAAAUUUCUACUAACAAACUAAAUGAUGUAUUCAUAUAUUUGUUGAUCUUAUCCACUAAUAGAUCUAAAUCAUAUUUAACUGAUUUAAUCUCAGCUAGUAUAAUAUUUAUACCCUAUACAAGCUAUACAAAUUUUGUUAUGCUCCCGCUGUAGCGGAGGGGACAUUAAGUUUUACCCUAGUCAGUCUAUACGUACGUACGUCCCAAAAUUAUUUUCCGUUCUCUAACUUGAGUCUGCCUUGACCAAAUGUCAUGAAACUUAUACACAAUGCUUAUUACCACAAAAUUCAGAUCAAAUUUGGGUAGCGUCUCUUUUAACGUGCUUGUCCCUUUAUAAUGUUGUAUGCAAGCUUGGGCAUCAUCUGUGUCCUUCUCCAUUUAUUUUCAAUAUUCAGAUGCAGUUAACAGUUCUUCUAUAAAAGCAUGCAAAACAAAACAUUGAUCAACUUGCUGGCUAAAUUUGCUUGGUUAUUUGCAAACAAUAGGUAGGCGGAGUUUCUGUUUGUUUUUAUAUAUACUGGGAUUUGAUUGUACAAUAAGAAUUGACAUGAAAUGAAUUUAAUGUUUAUUGUUCAAUCAUAUUCCAGUAAAUAGUAAACAGACUGAAAUAGACUCCUACCUGUUGUUACAAACAUCCAAACAAAUAUACCAAGCAAGUUGAUCAAUUGUUUGUUUUGCAUGCUUUAAUAGAAGAACUGUAAUGAUUUCCAAAUUUAUACAAAUUUAAGUACUGCAAAAUUAUGUAUGUUUUGCCUUUACUUGUCAUUUAAAAAUGUACUCUCAACUGUCAAUUAAUGUAUAACUGAACCUUUAUUAAUACUCAUGAAUUUUUUGUAUUAAAACAAUCCAGUGUCAGCUGGUCAUCAUUUAACAUGUAUAUUUAACCCCAGUGACCUUUAAACCUUUUAUGAACAUGAUUAGAAGCUGGUGGAUAGCAUUGCAUUAUAUUGUAUUAUAUUUUUUCACUGACAACUUAAAAAGAGAAUAAAUUAGCAACCCAGUUUACUGUUCUUAAAUAUUUAAAUGACUUGCUUAUUAAGAUUACCUAAUAUGAAGUGGAUUGAAUCAGCAUAAAAUCCAGUUCCCUUUUUUUUUUUUACUUAAAAGUAUUUUUUGCAACAACUUUAAGCCUCACGUCUCUGAUUUUAUGUAAAAUUAAUUCAGCGGCUUGGGUUAGGGAUAGUUCAUAGAGCAGUUAUAAAGUUCAUUUGCUAUGGAAAUACUGGCAACAGUUUAUUAAAGGGGUCAGUCAGGGUUCACAGACAGGCUUUCGACAUCACAAUUUAAAAUACGAUGAAAAGUUUAAUUGAAAAAGAACAGUAGAUAUACAGUACAACAUUAUUAAAUACAUUUUUCAUAAGAUUUUUUUUCAAUUCUCAUUCCUGUCUUAAAAAAAUAACUUUUAAAAAGAUGAGACCAUCAAAAUCUUAGUCCCAUGAAACUUGCAAAAUAAUGAUAAAAAAUACACAAAAGCAUUUAUCAGUAUUGACACUGUUGCAAAAAUUUGUAUCUUAAUGUUGCAAAGAUUUCUUCCGUUGCAGGGGAUUCCUAAUCAAUUUGUUCUUUAAUUUGUAGACAUGAAACUGCAUUUAAAAACAUAUGCUAACCACUAAGAAAUUUUUAACACCAUGAUACUUUUUCAAAUCAAAAACUGUAAAUGAAUUUUUACAAGUUGUUCCUUUUAUGAUUUUUUAGCAAUAUACAACAUAAAGUAUGAAUUAAAUUUUCAUUUAUGGGAAGGAACUAAGAUUUUAAUUGGUACAUGGCUAUUUUAAGAGGGUGGUUUAGGGGGGGGGGGGGAGAGAGGGGAGGAGGGCUCUGAACAUCAAAUAACAUAAAUAUCAAGGUAAAAAGUAAUAGAAGUUUUAACUCAACCUUUUUCGGAGAUCAUGUAGUCAUUAUUAAUGGACAUGAUGACCCUGUGUCCGCUAGUUGCAACUGAUUUGAAAGAAAAAGCUUAUUCAUUAGUUAAUAUCCUGGGAACACAUAAUUUAAAACAAUCUCGGUCUCUCGGUCUGACUUUGAAUUUAGUCCUGGCUUACUUUUUAAUCAAUGUGGGACAAUCAGGAGAAAUUAACAGUACACACAUGAAACACGAAUUUUAAAUAAGGUGAAACACGAAGCAUGCAUGUUGAACCAAACACGGGAAAACGAGAAUGAAACCACAAAACACGAAAACACAUGAAAUAAAAAGGCAGAAAAUAUUGCACAAAAAUAACCCUCUACCAACCUCUUUUAAGAUUCCUCUAGCUUGGAUUGGAGAUUUAUAUUGAAUUUCUCUCGACAAUAAAUUUGGGUAGAUGUCAAGUGUAUUGAAAACCUUUCAUAGUUUCCCAGCUGAGAUGUCCAGCUUGUAACAUUAUAAAGUUACAGACAACUUUUGUAUUCCAUAUUUGGAAAGAUGGUAUAUCAUAUUAUAUCUAUCGUAAAAGUUUAUUUUAAUAUCUUUUCAGGAUGUGAAUUUAGAUGAAGACCUACUGGAGGAUUGAACUUUUAUAAUCAUGUGAUCAGGAAAUGAACCAAUCAUAGACAUUGUUACAUUUCACCAAUCAUAAACAUUGUAUGAAAUUUGUUGAAAGAAUAUUUAUUAUUAAGUGCUCUGUUAUUGUCUUCAUAUUUUAAUGUCAUGGAAUAAUGAAUUUCUAUUGUGAAAUAUUUGUUUUUAUGUUACAAGACAGAACAAGCUAUGUUAAGUAAAUAAUACAACUCAGAAUUUCAACCAUACUUAUUACAUUUAGUGCAAUAGAAAAGAAUGUUAAAAGGCUAAAAAAAACUAAUCCAUUAAAUCAACUGUUUUAAUAACAUAUUUACCCAACCAAAGAGAAAUUUUAUGGAAACCUACAUUUUAUUUUGUAAGACAGAAAUACUUUGCAUUAAACCCCUCUGGUUGAAGAUGUUACUGCAAUAUUAUUAAAAAAAAUCCAGGUUUAAUGAUUAAAAGUCAUUCCCACUUACUAAGAUGCUCUUGAAAACUCAGUUGUUUUUGGAUGUGUAAUAAUUAUGUAUAGUGAAAUAUUCUUAGUCUUUUUAACACUGAAAUAAAAAUUCGAAAAUACUUGACUGAAUGAAGUAUUUGACAUUCGAUAUGUUAUAAAUAGGUAUUUAUUUCUUAGUUUGUUUCGAAAUGAGAUAUUGUAUAUGAUACUGUAAUUUAAAAAAAGGGGAAGAGUAAAAUAAACUAUGAAACUUA
rnacentral:lncRNA from 1 species